rnacentral:rRNA from 1 species
AACGAACGCUGGCGGCAGGCUUAACACAUGCAAGUCGAACGCCCCGCAAGGGGAGUGGCAGACGGGUGAGUAACGCGUGGGAACAUACCCUUUCCUGCGGAAUAGCUCCGGGAAACUGGAAUUAAUACCGCAUACGCCCUACGGGGGAAAGAUUUAUCGGGGAAGGAUUGGCCCGCGUUGGAUUAGCUAGUUGGUGGGGUAAAGGCCUACCAAGGCGACGAUCCAUAGCUGGUCUGAGAGGAUGAUCAGCCACAUUGGGACUGAGACACGGCCCAAACUCCUACGGGAGGCAGCAGUGGGGAAUAUUGGACAAUGGGCGCAAGCCUGAUCCAGCCAUGCCGCGUGAGUGAUGAAGGCCUUAGGGUUGUAAAGCUCUUUCGCCGAUGAAGAUGAUGACGGUAGUCGGAGAAGAAGCCCCGGCUAACUUCGUGCCAGCCGCCGCAGUAAGAC